UUAGUGGCGGACGGGUGAGUAACGCGUGGAAAACCUGCCGUAUACUGGGGGAUAACACUUAGAAAUAGGUGCUAAUACCGCAUAAGUGCACAGCUUCGCAUGAAGCGGUGUGAAAAACUCUGGUGGUAUACGAUGGUUCCGCGUCUGAUUAGCUAGUUGGUGGGGUAAUGGCCUACCAAGGCAACGAUCAGUAGCCGGCCUGAGAGGGUGAACGGCCACAUUGGGACUGAGACACGGCCCAAACUCCUACGGAAGGCAGCAG
rnacentral:rRNA from 1 species